CCUGGUAGUCACGCUGUAAACGAUGUCGAUUUAGAGGUUGUGGUCUUGAACCGUGGCUUCUGGAGCUAACGCGUUAAAUCGACCGCCUGGGGAGUACGGCCGCAAGGUUAAAACUCAAAUGAAUUGACGGGGGCCCGCACAAGCGGUGGAGCAUGUGGUUUAAUUCGAUGCAACGCGAAGAACCUUACCUACUCUUGACAUCCAGAGAAUCCUUUAGAGAUAGAGGAGUGCCUUCGGGAACUCUGAGACAGGUGCUGCAUGGCUGUCGUCAGCUCGUGUUGUGAAAUGUUGGGUUAAGUCCCGCAACGAGCGCAACCCUUAUCCUUUGUUGCCAGCGCGUGAUGGCGGGAACUCAAAGGAGACUGCCGGUGAUAAACCGGAGGAAGGUGGGGAUGACGUCAAGUCAUCAUGGCCCUUACGAGUAGGGCUACACACGUGCUACAAUGGCAGAUACAAAGAGAAGCGACCUCGCGAGAGCAAGCGGAACUCAUAAAGUCUGUCGUAGUCCGGAUUGGAGUCUGCAACUCGACUCCAUGAAGUCGGAAUCGCUAGUAAUCGUAGAUCAGAAUGCUACGGUGAAUACGUUCCCGGGCCUUGUACACACCGCCCGUCACACCAUGGGAGUGGGUUGCAAAAGAAGUAGGUAGCUUAACCUUCGGGAGGGCGCUUACCACUUUGUGAUUCAUGACUGGGGUGA
rnacentral:rRNA from 1 species